GAUAAGCGCUGGCGGCGUGCCUUAUGCAUGCAAGUCGAACGAGACCAAGGCUUCGGCCUGAAGUCUAGUGGCGGACGGGUGAGUAACACGUACGUGACCUGUCCGGAAGUGGGGAAUAACCAGCCGAAAGGUUGGCUAAUACCGCAUACGGUUACUGCUUGGAAGCAGCAAACCAAAGUCGCAAGACGCUUCCGGAGGGGCGUGCGGCCGAUUAGCUUGUUGGUGUGGUAACGGCGCACCAAGGCGGUGAUCGGUAGCUGGUCUGAGAGGAUGGUCAGCCACACUGGGACUGAGAC
rnacentral:rRNA from 1 species